rnacentral:rRNA from 1 species
UACGUAGGGUGCAAGCGUUGUCCGGAAUUAUUGGGCGUAAAGAGCUCGUAGGCGGUCUGCCGCGUCUGCUGUGAAAACUCGGGGCUUAACCCCGGGCCUGCAGUGGGUACGGGCAGACUAGAGUGCGGUAGGGGAGACUGGAAUUCCUGGUGUAGCGGUGAAAUGCGUAGAUAUCGGGAGGAACACCAGUGGCGAAGGCGACUUCCUGGCCUGUUCUUGACGCUGAGGCGCGAAAGCUAGGGUAGCAAACGGG